AAAUUUUGAUAUAAAUGAUUAGGAGUAUUAGGUUCCAAAUGAAAAAGUGAAAAUAUAAUUAUAAACAGAUCCUGUCUGAGUUUCUUGUAAAUAUAGUUUAAAAAAAAGAAUAGAAUUAUAUUGUUCAUGUAUAUAGAUUUUACAUGCGUACAUGUAUGUGUGUGUGUGUUUAUUGUUGGUACGUAAAGCUGCUAGCUAAAGCUAAUGUAUAUUGUUUUUAUGUGUAGCUACAUUUGCAAAGAUCCAUUUUGGCAGUGGCUCCUCAGGCGCUGCCUACCAAGGUGGAAACAGCUUUAUUUAUCGGCCCACCUUCUCAAACACACUGGCAAACGCCAUGAAUAUAUAUCAUUCUUAUACUUUUUUUUUCUGUUCAUCAAAUAUAAUUUUCUUUUUUAGACUUCUGACAAAAUAAUGUGCAUAUAUAU
rnacentral:lncRNA from 1 species